UACGGAGGGUGCAAGCGUUGUUCGGAAUCACUGGGCGUAAAGCGCGUGUAGGCGGUCUUUUAAGUCUGAUGUGAAAGCCCGGGGCUUACCCCCGGAAGUGCAUUGGAAACUGGGAGACUGGAGUACCGGAGAGGAGGGUGGAAUUCCUGGUGUAGCGGUGAAAUGCGUAGAUAUCAGGAGGAACACCGAUGGCGAAGGCAGGUCUCUGGGCUGACACUGACGCUCAUGCACGAAAGCGUGGGGAGCAAACAGG
rnacentral:rRNA from 1 species